AAGGUGAUACAGGACAAGACUGACCCCCUGACCCCAUUCACAUGGUAAGGUGAUACAGGACAAGACUGACCCCUGACCCCGUUCACAUGGUAAGGUGAUACAGGACAAGACUGACCCCCUGACCCCAUUCACAUGGUAAGGUGUGGCCUACAGUCAAACAAUAAAAGGACAUGAUACAUCUAGUGUAGAAACGGGGUCGGUCUCUAUGCAGUGUAGAAACGGGGUCGGUCUCUAUGCAGUGUAGAAACGGGGUCGGUCUCUAUGCAGAGUAGAAACGGGGUCAGUCUCUAUGCAGUGUAGAAACGGGGUCAGUCUCUAUGCAGAGUAGAAACGGGGUCAGUCUCUAUGCAGAGUAGAAACGGGGUCAGUCUCUAUGCAGAGUAGAAACAGGGUCAGUCUCUAUGCAGUGUAGAAACGGGGUCAGUCUCUAUGCAGAGUAGAAACGGGGUCAGUCUCUAUGCAGAGUAGAAAUGGGGUCAGUCUCUAUGCAGAGUAGAAACGGGGUCAGUCUCUAUGCAGAGUAGAAACGGGGUCAGUCUCUAUGCAGAGUAGAAACGGGGUCAGUCUCUAUGCAGAGUAGAAACGGGGUCAGUCUCUAUGCAGAGUAGAAAUGGGGUCAGUCUCUAUGCAGAGUAGAAACGGGGUCAGUCUCUAUGCAGAGUAGAAACGGGGUCAGUCUCUAUGCAGAGUAGAAACGGGGUCAGUCUCUAUGCAGUGUAGAAACGGGGUCAGUCUCUAUGCAGAGUAGAAACGGGGUCAGUCUCUAUGCAGAGUAGAAACGGGGUCAGUCUCUAUGCAGAGUAGAAACGGGGUCAGUCUCGAUGCAGAGUAGAAACGGGGUCAGUCUCGAUGCAGAGUAGAAACGGGGUCAGUCUCGAUGCAGAGUAGAAACGGGGUCAGUCUCGAUGCAGAGUAGAAACGGGGUCAGUCUCGAUGCAGAGUAGAAACGGGGUCAGUCUCUAUGCAGUGUAGAAACAGGGUCAGUCUCUGGAGUGUAGAAACGGGGUCAGUCUCUAUGCAGAGUAGAAACGGGGUCAGUCUCUAUGCAGAGUAGAAACGGGGUCAGUCUCUAUGCAGAGUAGAAACAGGGUCAGUCUCUAUGCAGAG